rnacentral:lncRNA from 1 species
ACCAAUUAAAGAGUCUAUAAUGUCCAAUUACAACCAGACAAUUAUAACUAAGUCUAAUUUUAAAUACCAUAAUUUGGUCUCACAUUGCCUUCCUCAUUGAGUUUGGGAACACAACAACAUAUCCAGGAAUAGCCUCGAUUUGGGUCACUUGGAUGGCUCACUUCCCCACCUCUUCACAAGUUAAAUCACUGGUAUAUUAUAAAAGUGUCUGUGAGCUUAUUGAAGCUCAGUGAGUUGCUCAAACAUACUAUAAAUAAACACAUCAGUUAGUUUAAAGGGUGACAUACUAUAGCGAUCCACAUAUUAUUAUAGUUUACACAAAAUAGUAACUCACACAAUAGAACAAUUCUCAUAAAAUUAGCAAUGCACAUAUAAUAAGUUAUUUGCAUAAAAUAGGAAGAUCACAUAAACUAUCAAUUCGCAUCAAACAUCUGUUCAUAUAAAAUAACAAUUCAUACACCAAAUGACAGCUCAUGCAAAAUGAUAGUUUAUAUGAAAUAUCAGUUCAUACCGAAUAACAAUUCAUGCAAAAUAACAGUUCAUACUCUAUCAUAACUCAUAUAUUUCAAAUAAUAAUAAAUUGACAUUUUUGUGAUUAUGAAACAUAUAGGGGACUCAAUCACCACACAUUGGACAAACGAAUCUCCUUAUAACGCCUCACUUUUAGACUCAAAGAGCCCUACGCUGUCUCUAAUAUAAGUGUAGCACAAACGCUCACACUCUCCAACACUCUCGACUCAUAGAGCCCUAUGCUGUCUACGUUGAAUGGAGCUAUGUUCGACAUUCCCUUAUCUCUCCAACGCUAUCUUUGGGCACAAUGCUCACCGCAAUAAUAAGGGUGAGUACUCACAAUCCUAUGGCAUGCCAACUAUAUCUAAUGGUUCCAUAAGGUCAUAAUGCCAACAUAUCUCUUUAACACAUUCACAAUAUUCAGUAUAAUAGGGCUCGCAAAUAAGUAGAGCUCACACAUUAUAACACAUCUUGCAAUUUACAAUUCGCAAUAAAGCAUGGUUUGCAAAUAAUAUAACAACUUUCAUGCAACAUAUAAUGCACACAUAACACAGUUCGCAUAUCAUUCAUGACAUAGAUUACAUAAAUCAUUGUUCGCAUAUUUUAUUUAGCAUAGGGCACACAAUAGCUUAGCUUACAUACAAUACAACUCAAAAUAUCACAAUACACAAUUUGGCAAAUUAAUAUCGUUCGCCAUAUUAAUACAAAUCACCAAAUUAACACAGUUCGCCAUAAUAAUAUAAUUCGCCAAGUUAACAUGGUUCACAAUAUAACACAGUACACAAAUAUAAUUGACUCGCACUACAAUUGAACUCGCACCUAGCAUUUCACGAUAAUAUAAUUCUGCACUAAUCUAAGUUUGCAUUACCGUAGAGCUCAUAAUCCACAUACUGAUUCGUGCAUGCAUAGAUAUACACAUUAUCAAUAAAAUUUACAUAUUAAAAGAGGUCCCAUUAUAUUUUUUUAUAUUAAUUCGCAAACAUUACAAAACUCAUCCAUAUAUAUAUUAUAAAACAAGACCCAUAUAUAUAUUAUAUAACAAAACUCACUCAUAUAUUAUAGAUAACAAAACCCAUGCAUAUAUAUAAUAUAUAACAAAACCCAUACAUAUAUAUUAUACAUAACAAACCCAAGCAUGUAUAUAUAUUAUAUAUAAUAAAGUCACGCCUAUAUAUUCAUAAACGUAUAUAUUAUUAAAUCCCUAGACGCAUAUAUAUAGAGUAUAUCUAAAAGAACAAUAGACACAUAUAUGUUAUAUAUAGCAGGACCCACGCAUAUAUAGUUGUUAUGUAUAUGGCAGGACCCACAUACAACAAAUAUACGUACCUAUUUAAAACCCCUCUCUAUCACGUCAAAAUUACAUAUAUAUAUAUAUAUAUAAAAUAAAAUCCUAAAUGCAACCGUAGACGCUUAUAUAUAUAACAAGACCAUAAACAUAUUUAUAUUAUAUAUAUACCUAUUUAUGAGUACAAUCGCUCAUGUAACUGCUCACACCUACUAAUAUACACACAAUUUCACUUAUUUGUUACGUUAAAUUUCAUAGUUUACAAUUACAACUUAUUUAUUUUAUUCCUAUAAUUACAUGCACAUUUUAAAUUCAUGCAUUUGACUCGUUAAAAUCACACAGCAUGCAUACUCUACACUCAAACAAAAUUAUAAUAAUUUGCACCAAGAGAAAUAAAGGUACACAUAUUAAUUAAGAAGGGUUCACAUAUGUUACUUUAGCAUGCGUACUUGAAUUUAAAUGCAGUAUAUCGGACCACUCACCUUAACAACCAUUGCUUCAACUACCAAGCUCAAGUAAGCUUUUAUUUACCUUUGUCCAUGGUUGUGGAGGCUCCCAAAUGAAUUGGCAUUUUUC